GAUGAACGCUAGCGGGAGGCCUAACACAUGCAAGCCGAGCGGUAUUGUUUCUUCGGAAAUGAGAGAGCGGCGUACGGGUGCGGAACACGUGUGCAACCUGCCUUUAUCUGGGGGAUAGCCUUUCGAAAGGAAGAUUAAUACUCCAUAAUAUAUUGAACGGCAUCGUUUAAUAUUGAAAGCUCCGGCGGAUAGAGAUGGGCACGCGCAAGAUUAGCUAGUUGGUGAGGUAACGGCUCACCAAGGCGAUGAUCUUUAGGGGGCCUGAGAGGGUGAGCCCCCACACUGGUACUGAGACACGGACCAGACUCCUACGGGAGGCAGCAGUGAGGAAUAUUGGUCAAUGGGUGCAAGCCUGAACCAGCCAUCCCGCGUGAAGGACGACUGCCCUAUGGGUUGUAAACUUCUUUUGUAUAGGGAUAAACCUACCCUCGUGAGGGUAGCUGAAGGUACUAUACGAAUAAGCACCGGCUAACUCCGUGCCAGCAGCCGCGGUAAUACGGAGGGUGCAAGCGUUAUCCGGAUUUAUUGGGUUUAAAGGGUCCGUAGGCGGACUUAUAAGUCAGUGGUGAAAGCCUGUCGCUUAACGAUAGAACUGCCAUUGAUACUGUAAGUCUUGAGUAUAUUUGAGGUAGCUGGAAUAAGUAGUGUAGCGGUGAAAUGCAUAGAUAUUACUUAGAACACCAAUUGCGAAGGCAGGUUACCAAGAUAUAACUGACGCUGAGGGACGAAAGCGUGGGGAGCGAACAGGAUUAGAUACCCUGGUAGUCCACGCCGUAAACGAUGCUAACUCGUUUUUGGGCUUUAGGGUUCAGAGACCAAGCGAAAGUGAUAAGUUAGCCACCUGGGGAGUACGCUCGCAGGAGUGAAACUCAGAGGAAUUGACGGGGGCCCGCACAAGCGGUGGAUUAUGUGGUUUAAUUCGAUGAUACGCGAGGAACCUUACCAAGACUUAAAUGGGAAUUGACAGCUUUAGAAAUAGAGCUUUCUUCGGACAAUUUUCAAGGUGCUGCAUGGUUGUCGUCAGCUCGUGCCGUGAGGUGUUAGGUUAAGUCCUGCAACGAGCGCAACCCCUGUCACUAGUUGCCAUCAUUCAGUUGGGGACUCUAGUGAGACUGCCUACGCAAGUAGAGAGGAAGGUGGGGAUGACGUCAAAUCAUCACGGCCCUUACGUCUUGGGCCACACACGUAAUACAAUGGCCGGUACAGAGGGCAGCUACACAGCGAUGUGAUGCAAAUCUCGAAAGCCGGUCUCAGUUCGGAUUGGAGUCUGCAACUCGACUCUAUGAAGCUGGAAUCGCUAGUAAUCGCGCAUCAGCCAUGGCGCGGUGAAUACGUUCCCGGGCCU
rnacentral:rRNA from 1 species